rfam:Agrobacterium tumefaciens str. C58 plasmid At, complete sequence.
AGAAGGGCUUCCAUGACGGCAACGUUUCGGGGGCCUUUUUCUUUUGC